rnacentral:rRNA from 1 species
GACGAACGCUGGCGGCGUGCCUAAUACAUGCAAGUAGAACGCUGAAGGAGGAGCUUGCUUCUCUGGAUGAGUUGCGAACGGGUGAGUAACGCGUAGGUAACCUGCCUGGUAGCGGGGGAUAACUAUUGGAAACGAUAGCUAAUACCGCAUAAGAGUAGAUGUUGCAUGACAUUUGCUUAAAAGGUGCAAUUGCAUCACUACCAGAUGGACCUGCGUUGUAUUAGCUAGUUGGUGGGGUAACGGCUCACCAAGGCGACGAUACAUAGCCGGCCUGAGAGGGUGAUCGGCCACACUGGGACUGAGACACGGCCCAGACUCCUACGGGAGGCAGCAGUAGGGAAUCUUCGGCAAUGGACGGAAGUCUGACCGAGCAACGCCGCGUGAGUGAAGAAGGGUUUCGGAUCGUAAAGCUCGGUUGUAAGAGAAGAACGAGUGUGAGAGUGGAAAGUUCACACUGUGACGGUAUCUUACCAGAAAGGGACGGCUAACUACGUG